rnacentral:rRNA from 1 species
AAAUGAAUAGACGGGGGAGCGCACAACCGGUGGAGCAUGUGGUUUAAUUCGAUACAAAGCGAAAAACCUUACCUGGGUUUGACAUGUAACUGCACGGUCUAGGAAACUAGAUCUUCUUCGAGAGUGUUACACAGGUGUUGCAUGGCUGUCGUCAGCUCGUGUCGUGAGGCGUCCACUUAAGUGUGGUAACGAGCGCAACCCUUAUCCCGUGUUACAAGUGUCACGGGAGACUGCCUUGCUUUUUGCAGGGAGGAAGGAGAGGAUGACGUCAAGUCAGCACGACCCUUACAUCCAGGGCGACACACAUCCUACAAUGGAGCCGACAACGGGUAGCGAAGCCGCAAGGUGGAGCCAAUCCUUUAAACGGCCCCUCAGUUCAGAUUGUUCUCUGCAAUUCGAGAGCAUGAAGUCGGAAUCGGUAGUAAUCGCAAAUCAGCAGGUUGCGGUGAAUACGUUCUCGCUCCUUGUACACACCGCCCGU